CAAUCUAGAUAGAUAAUGUGAGUUGUCAAGUUCUGGAGAUAUGUCCGCCUUCCCUCAAAUACUCUGAAGCUACAUGCCACUUUUGAGAGGCUUGCGCAUGUGACAGUGUGGGAUGUGAACACUGAAGGGCGCCCUCCUUGGCUGGGCUGUAACGUUAGCCAGCAUCUUGUCCAUGAGUAAUCGCACGCUGCCUGCUGUGAGGUGAUACAAAGAAAAAAAAUCAUUCCUACAUGAACAUGAAACUGCUCACAGCAAACCGUCUGGAUUAUCAUGAGCAACCGAGUCGUGAUUUUAUGAUUUUUUAUUUUUUUUUAUUUUAAAGAGACGCUGCUGUUGAGUUUUUCAAAAGUUUUUUUUUCUUUUUUUUGCAAGCCAAGUGCUAUCGAGGUUCUUUAUUUUCGAGAGAAGGCACAACCAUCUGUGGCUGGCCCUGACCACGCUGCGUUGUCCCCCGGGCACGGACCCAUGUUAUUAUCAUCCAGAGCAACAUUCGUAGAGUGGAAAAGGAUUGUCACGACCGCAAAUACACCAGUUUCACAUUAGGGCUGCGGCGCUGCAGAGGGAAGCGCACACAAAUCCCUCAUCCUGGCUCAGCGCUUGGUCGGUGAAAUAAAACAAAGGCGAACAGCGAGCCUGAGCAGGGAUGGGGCUGCUGAUAAAGAUCUGUCAAUGGCGCAUUUCCACGGGAUAGAAGGUUGAGAGGAGGGAGGGAGACAGAGUUUAACUGAUUGUGGAAUGGGGUGCAGAGCCCCAAGUUUGCCGGUGUUGCACAAAAACUUUUGCCUCUGCUCGAAACAUGUUCCUCUGUAGCAGGUUGCAAGGAAUUUAGGGAAUGGGGCAGAUUCCUCUGAGAGGCUUCUACCUUCAGACUACCUUUCACCCCCCCAAAAAAACAUUCCUCCAUCAGCCUGUCAGUCGCGCAGAGGUGCAGACAGAGCUGUACUGGCGCAGCCCCACGUUGAUGAUCCUCAGGAUACUUAUCUACAAGAACAUGUACAAAAGCCCUGCAUGGAAAGAGGCCCUUUCAUGGAGGCAAAUUCCACGAUCACGGUGCCACAAGUUGAAGAAGAAAAAAGUAGAAACCUGUGCCUGCCGGCGCUGAUACGUGAACCAGGGCUGUAAAUCAGGUUAUCUGGCCUUUUUCAGCCCCUAACAAGUCUGUAAAAAGUAAUGUGUCGUACGUAAAGUGUCACCCAGGAGUGCGCCUGACCUCAUUUUUGUAAAUGUAUUUUUUUGUGGCGGAACAAAGCUGUUGAUGGUAUUUGACUGAAGCAAUAUGACCCGGCCCUGAAUUCCACAGACACACAUUAAA